rnacentral:rRNA from 1 species
GACAGAGGCCUCGAGCGUUAGGCGGAAUCACUGGGCUUAAAGCGUGUGUAGGCGGGCCCGUAAGUGUAUUGUGAAAUCCCACGGCUCAACCGUGGAACUGCUGGGCAUACUGCGGGUCUUGGGCCAACUAGGGGCAGCCGGAACAAGCGGUGGAGCGGUGAAAUGCGUAGAUAUCGCUUGGAACGCCGAAGGUGAAAACAGGCUGCUGGGGUUGCGCCGACGCUGAGACACGAAAGCCAGGGGAGCAAACGGG